CCUGCUGCUAGGCUCGAGCUUAUCCCAGAGCCCAAAGGACCCUUAGCCUUGAGCCCUUUCCUCCCCUCUCCUUCCCCAGCCCCUUCCCUGAAGCUCCCUGGAGCGAUGAGACCCUGCAGCUGGCCCUGGCUCAGGUGGCCUUGGCCAGAGCCGGAACCCCAGAGACAGAACCUCCAAAUGACCGCCUGGGAGGCCGAGGGCCACGUGGCUGGUGAGAACGGCUCCCAGACUGGGGCCCAGGGGCCUUGGGAGCCCCCUCCCCUCUUCCUUCCCUUCCAGAACAAGCUUUUCCAGCCCCGCCGCUGCAGAGCCAGGUUUCUGGCUGUGUGGAUUGUUUUCCACCCCUGGGGCUUGGGUGGCAAGAGAGAAGGCUGGGAAGCUGAUUGCCCACGUGGUGUUCUGCCCUUCCCUCACCGCCUCCUCCAGAGGCGCCCCAGGGACCCUCAAGGCUGAAACAAAGGCAGAAACCAGACCCAGUCUUAACAGAAAAGGCACAGAUGCUGGGGCGCUCAUCAAGUCUGGCCUUUUGGACACACAUCAGGUGGAAGCUGUGAAUAGUCCUGCCAGGGCUGCCCAGUCUGGAGCUCUGGGUGGUUAGGUAGUCCUGGGGCACCAGGGUUUCUUCUGACACAGAGAAGGGCGUGGCUUCCUUUCCAGUGGAAAGCAAAUUGGUGGGAGAGGGGAAGACCCAUCCCAGACCUUGUCUCAGCUGGGUAAGGUCCUGGGGUCCUGCAGGGUGUCCCUCACAGAGCCAGGAUGCUGAAAGAAAACAUCUGUCCCAGGCCUCUCGCAGCUCAAAGUCUGGAAGUAAACAAACAAAAUAUGAUGGGCUGAGAGCUCCCAACAACCCCCAGCCAAGGAAGCAAUCCAGAGGACGUGCAGUCAGACUGCCAAGGUGCUCCCUGCAAAGGCAGGGUGGCGGUAAAGCAGAGCAGGCUAAGGAGGCCGCAGACCCUGCGCCCCAUGUUCCCCAGUUCUGUAGACUGGCCACACUGCAGAGAGCCGGAGACACCAUCAGAAUGGAGGCAACGUCUGGGCCUUGAGUGCUGGAAUGAGCUGGAAUGUCAGAGCUGAAGCCCAGUUGGAGCUCAAGUCUUUGCUCGGGCUGCGAAAGAUGGGGGCUGGGAUUGGAGGCUGCAGAAAGAAAGGCGCUUCUCUGAAGGAUGGAAAAAUCGAUGCCCGCGGAUGAGCGGGUGCAAAGCAGGUGCAGACAGCAGCGCCGGGGAGAAGGCCAAGGGCAGGGGAGUCAGGCGCCUGGGGUCCUGCGGCUGUUCCCCAUCUCCUAGGACACACUCCGAGGCAGAUUGCUUCUGCCAUCUUGUCAAGAAACUCAAUGUGGACUCCUGGUGGAAGAGAAUUGAGAUGACCUACCUGGCAACCCUGAUAGCUCAGAUGAACACCCAGCACUGAUCUCCUUUAGGAUGGACUGGUUGGAUCUCCUUGCAGUCCAAGGGACUCUCAGGAGGACUGGCAUGCUGCAAUUCAUGGGGUCGCAAAGAGUCAGACAUGACUGAGCGACUGAACUGAACUGAACUGAAAGAUUCCAUGUGCUGCAAUGAAGAUUGAAAAUCCUGCAUGCUACAACUAAGACCCAAUGCAACCAAAUAAAUUUUUUUUUGAAAAAAAAAAAAAGAAAGAAAUUUCAGACAAAGACUUGAGAAAUUUUACCACUCACAGAGUUUUGCUUAAAGAAUUAAUAAGGGAUUACCUAAGGAGAGAGCUCAAGCCCUGUACCAGGUAGUUCUCCAGGACAGCUGUGAUUGGCUCAGCCAUUGCACCUCCACAUCACCAGAUGCUCCUGUACUUACUGAAGCAAAGAACAUAGAAUUGGAGAGUCUUGUACCAGCAAUUCAUACUGUUCUUGAUACUGUUCAUGGGGCUCUUGCUGCAAGAAUGCUGGAGUGGUUUACCAUACCCUCCUCCAGAUUUUAUUUUUCUUGGGUUCAAAAAUCACUGCAGAUGGUGACUGCAUCCAUGAAAUUAAAAGAUGCUUGCUCUUUGGAAGGAAAGCUAUGACAAACCCAGACAGAGUAUUAAAAAGCAAAGACAUCACUUUGCCAACAAAGGUCCACAUAGUCAAAGCUAUGGUUUUUCCAGUAGCCAUGUACAGAGGUAAGAGUGGGACCAUAAAGAAGAACAAGGGUCGAAGAGCUGAUGCUUUUGAACUGUAGUGCUGGAGAAGACUCUUGAGGGUCCCUUGGACUGCAAGGAGAUCAACUCAGUCAAUCCUAAAGGAAAUCAACCCUAAUAUUCUUUAAAAGGACUGAUGCUGAAGCUGAAGUACUUUGGCCACCUGAUGAGAAGAGCUGACUCAUUGGAUUAGACCCUGAUGCUGGGAAAGAUUGAAGGCAAAAGGAGAAGAGGGCAGCGGAGGAUGAGAUGGUUAGAGAGCAUCACCGACUCAAUGGUUAUGAAUUUGAGCAGACUGGAGGAGGAAGUGGCAACCCACUGCAGUAUUCUUGCCUGGAGAAUCCCAUGGACAAAGUAGGUGGGCUGUGGUCAAGGGGUGGCAAAGAGUUGGAUGCAACUUAGUGACUGAACAACAACAAGUACCAGCAAUUAAGUGCCUCUACCCAGAAGUGACAUACAUUAGCUCACAUAAACUGCCAAACCCAGUGGAAAGUGCAGUGCCAGGCUGGAAGGAGUACUGGAGAGACUGGCAAACAUUGCACAUGUCACCAUACACAUAUUAAGGAAACAUGCUUUUAUUGCUAAUUUUAGACUUUGGAGCCUGAAAGACCUGAAGAGUCAACUUGAAAAGUCAUUCAGCCUUGGCUAUGUGAUGAGUAGCAGUGGAGGUCAGUAUUAAAAAAAAAAAAAAAGUGAAAUCAGGACUUCCCUGGUGGUCCAGUGGUUAAGAAUCCACCUUGUAAGGCAGGGGAUUUGGGUUUGAUCCCAGGUCGGAGAACCAAGAAUCCAUAUGCCACAGAGCAACUAAGUCCACACACUGCAACUACUGAAGCCCUUGAGCUCUGGACCUCGAGCCACAACUAAAAAGUCUGUUCUUGGCAACAAGGGAUCCCACACGUUGCACUGAAGAUCCUGUGUGCUGC
ensembl:lncRNA